AUUUCCAACUUAUGAUGAGCUUAUCAAGGCAUAAUCCCAUCGCAAGCCGAGAAGCACAUGUAUGUGCCAUGUUUAAUGAGUAUCUUUUUUUUUUUUUUUUUUUUUGUAUUUGUAGACAGCUGAAGAAAAGGUAUAGGCCUAAUGAGGUAGCGUAGAUGUUGCUAGCUAUGUGCAAAAUUGCUAGGAACUCACGCUAUCUGACUAGGAUUAUACUAAUUACCUCGAAGAACUUAUAAUUCGCAUGAAUUCUGGAAGUCUGGAAACUCAUUCUGCGUCAUUACAAGAAAAGCAGUAUGUCAUAUUUAUUUGAAGAAAUUUUUUUAAAAGAGGAAAGCAUUCAUUUCUUUGCCACUGAAAAUUUUAUUCCUUGUUUUGAAUUGUUUGAUACUUUUCGUUAUACUUUUUAGUUUCUAUUAAUAUAUUUUUUAUCUUUACUUGGAGUUGCCUCAAGAGCUAUUGCAGUAUGAUCAGAUGGCCGUCAGUGCUCUAAUCUACGAAACUUCUACGAGGAAGCAUAGAUGUAAAUAAUUAUACCUUUGGUAGCAUUUGAUGGACUUCUUUCAAAAUUUCAAGAAUGUUCGCAUUCUGCCUAAUCUGAAGGUUACUGUGUAAGUACAGCCUAGUGAGGAAACGUUUGCGUUACUGGCUGUGUAAAAUUGCUAGGAACGCACGUUGCCUUAAUAGGCUGUAUCAGUGUCAGCAAAAGAAUUUAUAACUCCGAAGUCUGUAUCUUAAAAUCGGACAUCGUUACGUGAUGCUGUUAAAGUCAAUCAGUGGAUUACAUAGAGGAGAAAGCAUAUAGAUAGACAACGAGAGCGCAGACUGGAUAAAAAAAUGAUACUUUCCUAGUUACGAAAUGACAUUAGUCACAAAAGUGAUUUUGAAAAUACAGUGAGCCAAAUGUGUUCAGUCUUGUCGCACUUGUACAUUUACUAUUUGAUCACCUCAUACUCAACAGACGCACUGCUGCUUGUCUCAAAAGUGGAAAUUCUGAUUUAGAAUUUGAAAGAUGGGUCCCGCUAUAACCUGUUCAGAAGAAAUUGCAUUUUGAUAACUAAAGACCGAGGAGUUAAAACAGCUGAAUGCUGUGAGUUCGGCAAGGUUUCGAUCCGAUCCUAGGUGAACGAGCUGACUGCUUGGUUGGUUUUCCCAUGCGCAACGUGAAUACGAGCCAAUUUCCCUUCGAAACUACUUCACGAAAGCAUCACUACCUGCAGGCACAUAGCCGUCAUGAGCUUUCUCAUUAGCUAAGCAACUUUACAUAACACGUUUUUCUUUUCAGGUGUCCAUAUCUUUUCAGAUGACAGAAUUCCAGACCACUUCUGCACAUACAGAUCUCAUCAGAUAUUAUAUCACCUCAAGUUGAAAUACUCCGGAAAAGAGAAUUUUAAAUAUUGAAGAGGGAUGGAUCAGAAAAAUUUAAAAGUGAAUAGAGCUAGGUUCCUGAUUAUUUAAAUGACAUGUUAUUCUUAUUCUAGAAGAUAAAGUGACGCUUUUUUGCCGAAAAAUGAAUUUAAAUUGGUCUUGAAUUUACCUUGUAUCUGUACGAUUUUAGUUAUGCUUCAUUUGAUGUAUAAUUGACAAUGUUCUAUUAAACAAUGCAUAUAAAAAUUUAUUUGUUUAAAAAAA